UACCUGGGCGCCGAUUCAGCUUCUUCGUCCCUCUCCCUCUCUCUCGACGAUCAACAGCAGCGACGGUCCUUCCGCUCUCUGCUUCAAUCUCUCUUCGUGUUCGAUGGCGGCGAUAUCUUCAAAUCCCCGGUGAAUCCAUGUUCCGAUUACCUCGCUAAUUCCUUCUUCUCGCUCUUUGAUCUCUCUUACUUUGGGAUGGAGUCGCAGUGACCUGAGGUUGCGAAGAUGAUGAUUUGGGCGUUGAGGAUGAAGCUGAUGCGUUGUGAUUUACAAAAGGCGAUGGCGGUCAUUGUGUUGCCAGGACUUUGAAGUUGUUGACGUGAUUCUUGUGAUGCAACGAUUGGGAUACUCUGAGAAGUAGACUCAGAAAGAUCGAAGAAUUCUAAUGAAGAAUCGCGGCGAGGAAUUGAUGAAGACGAUGAUAACGGAAGAAGAUUCGCUCAGUGUUGCUGCGUGAGUUGGUUGAGGUGAAACUGAAGAAGUUUGUGGAGAGAGUUUGGUGAAUUGUGGAAGUGAAGAGAUGAUGAUGGUGACGCAAGGAUGAGAAGAAGAUGGAGAUGGUGAAUUGUUGAAGAUGGAGAGAAGAAUGUGAAGAAGAAGAUGAAGAUGAAGGUUGUGAUGUGGUGGAAAUGAUCGUGGAGAUGUGAAGAGAGAGCUCAAGGUAGUGAAGACUCAAGUAUAUAUAGGUUAUUGCUAAUAACAUAAGGCUGCUGAUUUGUUAUUUGAAUGCAGGGUUAAUGGCUGCAUUUUUCUAGUCUGUUGGUGAGUUGCUGAAGCAUUGAUGUGAAAAUAUGAACAUGAUUUGGAAUAGAUGCUGCUUGGGACAGUUUGAUAGGUGUUUGAAUUUGUGAUAAUUAGGCUGUAGAUUGGAUGCAUAAACCGUGCAGUCAGACUAGAAUUGAUGCCGUACGCGACUUAUCCGCCGUACAUUGAAAUGAAUCGGUUUUGUGAGCUUUGUUCAAAACUGUCUGAAGUUGU